rnacentral:lncRNA from 1 species
GGCCAAACAUUACCUAAGCCCAGCCGAAAAUCCAAGACUAAACACACAGGCCAGCCCGUCUUUUAUCACUCAAACCCGACCAAAAUAUAUGGGCUCCAAUCUCUUAGCCCAACAGAAACCCAAAAGAAAAUAAACCAAAACCCAUUUUCAAAACCCAACCAAAACUAACUCUUGGCCCAUCAGAAAAAUAAACAUCAGCCCAAAUCCUCUUUU